rnacentral:lncRNA from 1 species
CUGCUUGACCGGAGUGCUCUGAAUUUUAACAUUGGACUUCUCAGCACCACCAGCUGUUGCUCCGGGACCCAUUCGCUUUUUAAUCUCAGCUGCCAUCGUCAUGAAAGACUGUUCUACAUUCGUUGCAUUCUUAGCACUGGUUUCCAAAAACGGAAUUCCAAGGGAAUCAGCAAAUUCCUUUGCUGUUGUGUAGUCUACUACUUUCUUUGUGGUCAGAUCACAUUUGUUCCCUACCAACAAUUUGUUGACAUUUUCACUGGCAUAACGAUCUAUUUCCUGCAGCCACUGUUUAACAUUAUUGAAGGACUCCUGAUCUGUCACAUCAUACACAACUAUGAUGCCAUGGGCUCCUCUGUAAUAACUGGAGGUGAUUGUUCAAAAUCUUUCCUGGCCUGCUGUGUCCCAUGCAAACCUAAGAAGAAGGCAAGACUUUCCAACCCCAGAGUCGCCAAUCAGAAGUAACUUGAAUAAAUAAUCAUAUUCGGGAUUCAUGCUGGACAUGUCACUGCAGCUGUCGCCGCCGCCACCGCCGCCGCCCUUGCUGCCGCAGCCGCCCGAGACAACAUUUUCUAAACUGAUUUGAUGGACUAAAGGAGGAAGUAGGAAGGAGAGGGCAAACUACUGUAAGAGUGAAAGAGACCACGAGGACCUGAUUUAGGGAAAUUACAGUGCCUAAGCGAGGCGUGUCUAAAUUCAGGAGACAGUGCUGUGGUACAACCAACAGGAUUUAAUGACUGAUUAUUUGAUAUUUAAUAUUGAUUAUUGAUUAGUUGUGUUGGGGGAGGAUAGUAAAAGAGAAGAUGAGUUUCAGGGCAAAUCCAAGAAUUCUGAUGAUGGAAACUAGGUAUCUGGUGAUGUAAACCAUGACUGAGGAUUCAGGAAACAAUGCUAACUUGGACAGUGAAGGGGAGAAGAACUAAACUGAUGUGGACAUACUCCUAUUAGGUUUCUUUAGGGGAAUUAAAUAAAUUAUCUAGUGUUAGUGGUAAAUUUGGGGAAACUGGAUGUGGAUUCAGCCUCUAAUGGCUAAAAUUGGUAUUUUGUAAUAAAGUCACUUGUGCAAAUUUCAUUCUAGAAAUUUUCAAUAAAAUUCCACAAAAAUAAAAUAUAAUU